AGAGGCAGAGGCGGCGGCGGCAGCGGCUGCAGCAUCAUUCGCGGGCAGCGGCGGAGACCGAGAGCUGCAGAAAAGGGUGGGGUCGCUUCCCAGGAGAAGAGGCGGUGGCGGCGGCGGCUGCGGCAUCCUCGCGGGCAGCGGCGGAGGCAGCAAUGCUCGGUCUCCGCUGGAGGUGAUGGCCUCCCAGCCCUGCUAGGUGGCCGGCUGCACUAGGACGCCGGCAGGAAGGAGACUCGAGCCCGGUCCGCGGACCCUGCGGCCACACCGCCCGGCCCCUCCUCUGCGCCAUGGCUUAAGCCUGUAGCCACCUCUCCUCACGUCGCCUCGCUCGACCGAGGUCUGUGCGCCGCCGCAGCCGCAGGGAGGGGCGCGUCCCAGACACCCUCGCCGGGGACUCGGGAACGCCGUGCGUCUCACCCUUCGGCGCUCGCAGCAGACUGCGCUCCCAAAGGCGUUUGCGACCGGUAAUCGAGGGACUCUACAGACUCUCCUAGGACAGCUCUCCCCGGGUGCUCGCUGAGGGAGGAGGGCGAACUAGCUCCGGCUGAUCGGGGGUAGAAAACGGUGGGAACCACAUUGGCCGGUCAGGAUCGGAGGCUGAAGGAAGAUUAUAGAGACUUGCUUUAGAACCACAAGAAGAAAGAGGAGGCCGGCUUUUCAGCUAGCAUCAUGGCGUGGCCGUGCAUCACGAGGGCCUGCUGCAUCGCCCGCUUCUGGAACCAGUUGGACAAAGCGGACAUCGCUGUGCCGCUGGUUUUCACCAAGUACUCGGAGGCCACCGAGCACCCGGGCGCCCCGCCGCAGCCACCGCCGCCGCAGCAGCAGGCGCAGCCGGCGCUCGCGCCCCCCUCGGCGCGCGCGGUUGCCAUAGAGACGCAGCCAGCCCAGGGCGAGUUGGAUGCAGUUGCCCGGGCAACGGGGCCAGCGCCUGGGCCUACCGGCGAGCGCGAGCCGGCGGCGGGCCCCGGCCGGAGCGGGCCGGGCCCGGGCCUGGGCUCCGGCUCCACCUCCGGCCCCGCGGACUCGGUGAUGCGGCAGGAUUACCGAGCCUGGAAGGUGCAGCGGCCCGAGCCCAGCUGCCGGCCGCGCAGCGAAUACCAGCCCUCCGACGCUCCCUUCGAGCGCGAGACCCAGUACCAGAAGGACUUCCGCGCCUGGCCGCUGCCGCGCCGCGGGGACCACCCGUGGAUCCCCAAGCCCGUGCAGAUCUCUGCGGCCUCCCAGGCGUCGGCGCCCAUUCUCGGGGCGCCCAAGCGCCGGCCGCAGAGCCAGGAGCGCUGGCCAGUGCAGGCCGCCGCUGAGGCCCGGGAGCAGGAGGCGGCCCCCGGCGGAGCGGGUGGCCUGGCGGCCGGAAAGGCGUCCGGGGCGGACGAGCGCGACACGCGCAGGAAGGCCGGGCCUGCCUGGAUUGUGCGCCGCGCCGAGGGCCUGGGGCACGAGCAGACGCCGCUGCCCGCGGCCCAGGCCCAGGUCCAGGCCACCGGCCCCGAGGCUGGCAGGGGGCGCGCCGCGGCGGACGCCCUCAACCGGCAAAUCCGCGAGGAGGUGGCGAGUGCAGUGAGCAGCUCCUACAGAUAUUUUUGAAAAGAGCAUUCAGAUGUAAAAUGCUGUAUUGACCCUGGAGCGUGACAUUAAUAGAGUGAGAAACAUCUAGUGUCUGUUCUGAAUGCAGCAGCUGAAGUAAACAUAAACCAAGAGUCAAAUCGUGCCACUCGGAGCUACAUCAGGUCUGCUCAAAUCCUCCAGCCGCUCCCCAUCGCACAGAAGAUUAAACCAAAUCCCUCUCUCUGUUAUCCAAGGCCCUCCCCACUCUGCUCGCCCUUCUCUGAUCUCUUCUCCUACUCCUCGUUAGCUCCCAUUCAGCCUCACUGGCCUCUUCAGCAUUCCUCAGACACAUCCUCCGGCCUUAGGGUCUUUGCACUCUCCCUGCAGAAGCCCACAAGGCUCACUUCCUCCAGGUCUCUGUUCAACUCUCACUUGAUCAGAGAGGCUGUUGUUGACCCUAGGUAAGCACACAUACACACACACAGCACAUGUGACUCUCUGUCACCUUUAUUAUUCUUGUUGGAACUUCCCACCACCUGACAUACCAGCUUAUUGGCUUAUGGUCCCUCUCCCUUCAUUGGAAUGUAAGUCACUGCUCUCCAAGAGGGCAGGGACUUUGUAUCCUCUGUCCUCUGUUGUAUCCCAAUGUCUUCCCACAGCACCUAAGUUAAUAUAUGUUAAACAAAUUAAUGAGUGAAUUUUUUAGCAUCUCUCACUAGCAUGUCCUCAUGAAAUACUUACUUGACAGAAAAAUCCUAAGUUUGCCCAGAGUAUCCGUCAGAGGAGUGAGAUUUAUUUUCAAGUUAUAUGAGGAUUAGCCUAAAGAACAAAAGGCACAUGGACCUUUUGGGAAGAUCAUUUGCCUUCGUAAGUCCUGUGGGAUUGGGAUUUAUGAGCAAACCCAAGCAAUUCAGAGCAUAUACUUAAUGGAAUAAUUUCUAAUGCCCUGUACAUGGUGACUCACAUGAAAUACUUAAGUGAAGAUAUGUUACAAGCAGUUAGGUUUUGUGGAGACAUUGUCUACUGUUGUUUUUAAUAACAAUAUGCUAUUAGUACCUUUAAAAUACUGUCUCUUCUGAUGCCAAAAAAAAAAAAAGAAAAAAGAAAAAAAGAAAAGAAACAACAGCAACAACAACAAAACUGGACCAGGAAAUGAGAAGCUGGAAUGCUGGUUCCAGCUCUGCCAUCAGUUGCUAUGUGACUUUAAUGGAGUUAUUUCCUCUCUCUCCAUCUAAUUUUUUUCCAUCUGUAAAAAUUAACAUAUUGAAUUAAAUUAUCUCUAUGAUUGUCUGCCAGUUCUAAAAUUCUAGGGUUCUAUGAAUUACUGGCUGGCUGGCUGGAUGGAUAGAUGACUCUAAUUUCCACAUUACGCAGUCAUAACAAUAGUGGUUAGUUCUAAUCUGUUCUUAUCAUGCUCUUCCCACAAUUCCCUAGUCCAGAGAAUACUACCCUUUAUCUGAGGUUAUGUACAUCCCUUACCCUUAGGUCCUUGUAUCUAUCUUCUUUGAACAGUGAACAGUUAGAAGCCAGUAGAUUAUAGAAUCACGCAAAACAAAAGUGGUGGUAACUGAAGGGUAUUUAUUCUGUGAGAAAGGAAAGAGGAAGAUGGAUGUAUUAACUUACAACCAAGCAUCAGGAAGGCAUACAAAGUAGUUCAUGCAGUCCACUUCACCAUGCCUGUCUGUUUGUGAGAGACCUUAUACAGACAUUGAAUCUUCCCUUUGGUGGAUUAUAAACUCUGAUGGCUGAACAUGGAAAGACCCAGAAUAACAUCUGAAAAAGUGAUCUUGGCCCCCUAAUUUGCUGUCCCUGGGCAAGUCCCCAGAGUUGGAAUGGAACACAGAGGAAGCCUGCCCUGGGCUUGGUCUACUUCUUACUAGCUGGGUGACCUUCGGUAAGGCACCCUCUACCCCCAUGUUCCUGGAAAUAGAAUAGAGCUAAUAGGGUUGAAGUGAGGAUUAAGCAAGAAGGCUCGGUGAGGUAAAGUAACUUGCCUCUAAUGUCACAGAGCUAAUCAUUUGAAUCCCAAAGCCAUAGUAGGAAAUGAAUAUGAAAGGAAUCAAAAGAGACUCCUAUAAUUUUACACUCUCCGUUGAUUAAAUUGAUGGAUUUAAAGUAAGGAAUGUCUGUAUGGGGCUCGCAGAGAUAAUUUCACCAUUGCUAGAAAUUCACUUACUCACAAACUUGGUGUCCAUUCAGCAAAAUAUACCAGAAAUGUGUUCACAGGUGGUAUUUGCUGGAUGAAAUUGGAUCAUUCCAUCUACGUGAAAUAUUUGUACACCCAGUGCCUAUCUCCUGCGACAGCAGAAAUUAUCACUUUUCAUUGAUCUCCUUUUAGACCUGACCUUGAUAUUCCCUCAUUUCCUCCUAAAUAUAUCAAAGCACCCGAGGAUAUAAGUGUGCUCUGCUUCAAUUGAAUUUCACUGGUCUCAUGUUGAGAUUUGUGUUCUGAAGCAAGCACUUGAUCAUCUCAUCACCAGCCUUUGAAUCUGCUUCCUUUUCUUCCCUUUUCAUGUUUGAGUUUCCUUAGCUGAGACAGCCACUUGACAGCCAUCCAUCACUGUAGCUGUGCAAGUGCAUUUGUACCGUCUCCUGCUGGCCCUGUGUUACAUGAGCCCAUCUGGAGGAGGGGAGUGGGAGAGGGUUGGGCAAAGGGCAAAGGGCAAUUAAGAAAAAAAAAGUCUACUGUAUUUCAUUAAAUCUGCACACCACCACAGCAAGGUAGAUGACAUUAUCCCUGUUUACAGAUGAGGAAGCUGAGGCUUAGGGAGGGUAGUUCUUGAAGUUACACAACUGAUACACAGCAUAAUUGGGAUUCCAAACAUAAGCCCUUUCUCAUAGUCCAUGCUUUGUUAUUGCUGAGAAUGAGUGGAGACUGUGGGAGAGUGACCAAAAAUACCUAGAUAUGCCUGCAGUCCUAUCAACAAUUAAGUUUUUACCCAGCUGUAACCCUCUUUAAGGUAAUUUGAAUUAUGCUUCUUAAACCAGUCACAUUGGCACCCACAGCAUGCCACCUUGAGCCAAGUGGUGUGCCCGGCACUUUAUUAUAGACACAAUUUACUUUAUUCAUCACCUUUAUCCACAAAGUCAUGAUAACUUUAAAGUGGUGUUUUUCAAAGUAUGCUCCUCUGACCAACUGCAUUAGAAUCACCCAAGGAACUUGUUAAAAUACAGAUUCCAGGGCUUCACCACAAGGGUAAGAACAGUGGAAUUUUCAUUAUUAACAAAUUCUAUGAUACAUUUGGACAAUUGUUCUUAAAAGGUAAUAAGUCCUUGUUAUUAACAAAACACUUGAAUCAUUACCUUUUAACGAGCCUUUGUAAGUUAAGCAUUUUGUAUUUAAAAUGUAGCUAUGGCUUCCUUUAAUUAGUAAUGAGUUUAGGGAGAUACAGAUAGGAAGCUGGAACUCAGUUCAGGGCUUAGUUGAAUGAAUAUUACCUGGUACCCAGAGAAAUUUGAAGGAAUCUAUUUUUAGGAGUGACUAGUAGGUCACACCUAUAAAAUUCAAGAUCUGGUAUAAAUAGUCUGAAAUUUGGACUUCAGUCUGGACUUUUGUAGUAUUCUAUGAUAUAUCAGAUAGAAGCCUCUUUUAAAAUUUUAAGUUAAAUAUUCAUCAUUAAAUUAUAUCAGGUAAGAUACAACAUUAUAGAAACAGAUUCAUUUCAAUGCAGAACCUUUAAUGAAUAUCAACUGUGAACUAGGUGCAAUGGUUUACAAAAACAAUUAAGCUGGUGAUUCCUGCCAAACAUGCAAAGAAAAAUUAAUACCAAUUUUCACAAACUCUUCCAAAAAAUAGAAAAAGAGAGAACACUUCAUAGCUCAUUCUAUAAGGUCAAUAUUACCCUGACACCAAAACCAGACAAAGACACAAGAGUUCACCAGUGAAGAUGGGAGGAGUUUAAGCCCAGGAGUCCCAUGCUGGUUCUCUAACUGGGCUGGGUGGAUUUCUGGGAGAGGGUAGAGUCGGAAAGUUCGGAAGACCACGAUGAAGACAAUGGUGUGAAGGUGGUGGUGAUGAUAGUUACAGCAGCACAUGCACACACACUCGCAUCACUCAUAUGAACACAGAUUUGAAAUCCAGUAGUGUGUUUUAUCAAGCAUUCUUCUCUAAGGUAGGUCCUAGCCUUGUCUUUGCUGUAGUUACUUAUUGUGGUGGAUAUUAGAAGACAUGAGAAUUCAGUGUGUAGCUGAUGAACAAGAACCGAGACUUUUGUUCCUCUGUCAACAAGACUUCCUCUCACUGCCUUCUUAUUUUCUCUUCUCCUCUUCAUUCCCCUCAGCCCACUCCCCUCCCGGCAAUGCCCUCACUGUCCUUCAGUAACAGCUCCCUCCAAAUACCACCAUCCCUGUCAGUAUAUCUAUAGCCCUGUUUACAAACUUGCAUUCAGACCUAGAUCUAAUUAUUUGGUUAUGACACUGCAGUUUAUAUUAACCCUUUGACAAACAAGCAAGUGAUAGCAGCUGUGGAAUAAACUUUUUCCAAUCCCUUUGACCUCAAAAUAAAAGAAUAUAAGAAUAUAAAGUCAGUCUUUUGAGCAAAGUCUUUUGCCCUUUAUAGUGAAAGCUUUAUUGAAUGCAUGAGGACAGAAUUAAUUCAGGGAAAAAAAUGUACUUCAUAUGCAGGAUGCCAGAAAAGCUCCCACCCUGAGCACCACUUUUAUUGGCACAAGUUGACCUGCAGAAGUCCCAAGCAGAGACACGAUAGAAAGACCCAGGCUUGGCAGGGGGUGGUGGCUCAUGCCUGUAAUCCCAGCACUUUGGGAGGCCGAGUUAGGAGGAUCACUUGAGACCAGGAGUUGGAGACCAGCCUGACCAACAUGGUGAAACCCCAUCUCUACUAAAAAUACAAAAAUUAGCCAGGCAUUGUGGCACAUGCAUGUAAUCCCAGCUACUUCGGAGGCUAAGGCAGGAAAAUCACUUGAACUCAGGAGGCGGAAUUUGCAGUGAGCCGAGAUCGCACCACUGCACUCCAGCC